UGGCAGCUCACAGCUAUUGUGGUGGGAAAGGGAGGGUGGUUGGUGGAUGUCACAGCUUGGGCUUUAUCUCCCCCAGCAGUGGGGACUCCACAGCCCCUGGGCUACAUAACAGCAAGACAGUCCGGAGCUGUAGCAGACCUGAUUGAGCCUUUGCAGCAGCUGAGAGCAUGGCCUAGGGUGGGCGGCACCAUUGUCCAGCAGCUGAGUUUCCCAGGGACCUUGGAGAUAGCCGCAGCCCUCAUUUGCAGGGGAAGAUGAUUCCUGCCAGAUUUGCCGGGGUGCUGCUUGCUCUGGCCCUCAUUUUGCCAGGUAGGUACAAAAGGGCCUCCAUUUCUCAUUCCUGCCCCAGGGCCAUCUGGAGUGACACCUUUCCGGGAAUCAGCAGGUGUGUCUGGAGCUCACCUGUGUGCCCAGCCCUAACUUAGGCUGUUGGUUGCCUCCUGUGAAGGUUCUGCGGAGUUCCCACCCUUGACUUGUAUUCCAGAGACCAGGUGCCUGCAAAUGCCAUCUCCUGUUGGGGAAUUAAGAAGCAUAAAGGUGGCACAGAACUGUCCUAUAUUAUGGGGGCACAGGAUGAGGAGGAAGGAAUCCAAGACUUGGAUGGAUUAUUAGUUUUCGAUAAGAUUGUGGAGGUCACCUUGUUGAACCUCCCAUGGUACAAUGAAGAGACUGAGGGUCAGAGAGGAGAAAUGACUGCUCCAAAGUCUCCUAGAGCCAAAAUCAGAGGUCAGUCUUCCUGGGUUCC
rnacentral:lncRNA from 10 species